GGGCUUGAAAGCAAGAUGUGUUUUUCUUCUGUUCCUCAUUUCAUCAGCUGGAUGUGGAUGUUAUGAUGACAAAACUGAAGCCUCAAGAGCCUGACUUGCUCAUGGUGACAGCAGAAAUGAGAGGAGGACUCAAGAAUUGGACUUCAGAGUUCUCAUGUUCACGGCCAUAUUGAAAUUCCUAUGGGGUCUGCAUUGCAGGACUCCUCCCAGCUACACUGCAGUAUCAGUGGGGACAUGCUUUGCACAUUCUUGCCUUCAGCUCUCUGGCACUAUUUGCUCCAUGAAUUAUUCAAUGGCCUGGUGGCCAUUGCAGGCCAUAUGCAGAUGGCCCUGGAGAAUGCAUGGUGCACAGGGUAAUUCUAGUUUUCCAAUUAGCAGCAAGGUGCUGAGCUGCGAGCCCGAAGCCUACCUAUCUCCAGGAAUGGGUUACAGCUCUUCUCCACAGGGCAGUGCCAGGCUUUGUCAUUUCAUUCACCUCUGCAGUGUCUUCCUCUUGUUCUCCUCCUCCCAGAGGUCAUCUAUUUUCUACUCCCCUGAGAGCUCCAAGGCAAGGCUAAGAGUUAGAGGGGCACACUGCAGCAGAAAUGUGCAAGAGAAAAUGUGUAGGGAAUAAGGAAAGGGGACAUUACUAGAACCUCUGCAGUGGGUCCUAGUGUCCUGCGAGCCAUGGCAGCACAAGACGAAUUAACUUAUUAUACAGGAAAGGUAGAAAAAUGAGACUUUGAGAAGAAGCUGAGCUUUGGGCCUGAUCAGUGCUGCUCUGGGCGGCAAAGAGGAAAGCCCCCAGCUUCCUGCACCUUUUAUUCAGUAGGUCAGGAGAAAUAGAUGUAACAAAUGACUCAGGACAGAGAGUUCAGUGCAUGGGGAUAAACAAGGUGUAACAAUCCAAGAACAAUGAGGAACUGAGAAGAUGAAGAUUUGGUUCCUCCCAGGAUGUCUUCAGCUCGUGUAAUCUUGUCCUGGAGAAUCACAGUAUCACCGGAUCGUUGAGGUCUCAGUUGUGACCUGCGGGCCAAAAUAGAAUUAUGUCUCAAAAUGCCAUAGCUGGCCUGUAGGCAGGAGAAGUAGAAUUUUUCCCUAAAAUUAUGUAGCAUUGCUCCUGACAAAAAUGAAAUGAGAUGAAAGAUCGCCAUGAAGAGGUCUUGGGGGAUUUCGUUAUUCAAAAGAAUUAUGAACAUAAUUCAAAAAAAGCACCAAUGGAGCUGAGCUGAGACGGAGCAUUGCUGUACAUCUUGUUUGAGCAAAUUGGUUCUUCGGUAUCUGAGUACUUGACUUUGUGCAGUGCAAGUCAGUCGCCUUCUUUGCCUCUGUUUCAUAAAGAAGAGGGCAGAGACCAUUUUCACCAACUGUGGGGAGGGUACAGUCACUAGGGAAGGGGUGUAGUCAAUUAUUUGCAGAAUGGCCUUUUGACAUGAAGACAUUGGAUAAGAUUAAUUUUUUGAUCUGUUGCAACAAGUGUGAGGCUAGGGGUAUUGUUCUUUCUUGAGAUUUUUCUCAUCUUGCCAGCAGAAAAAGUUGGGCAUCUUGUAGGAGGCUGAUGCGUCCUUACCUCACAGAUAGUAUGAAUUAUGUACCUGGUAAUGGUGCCCUCUUCCCUCUGGCUGUUUACAGAAGGCAGAACCUCUCUGUCUGCCCAGCUCUGGAAGCACGAGGGAUUUCACAGGAAUGCCUUUUAUGUUCUAGCUUACCCACGGUGCUAUUCUAGUCUAUCUUAUUUUCUUUGUCUUUUUCUCCCCUGGCUUAUGUUUAACUGACUGCCCCUUGUUGAACUGUAUGCAUCUAUGCCAGC
ensembl:lncRNA